rnacentral:misc_RNA from 1 species
GAUGAAGAACGCAGCGAAAUGCGAUACUUGGUGUGAAUUGCAGAAUCCCGUGAACCAUCGAGUCUUUGAACGCAAGUUGCGCCCGAAGCCACUAGGCCGAGGGCACGCCUGCCUGGGCGUCACACGCCGUUGCCCCCCCAUCUACUCCUUCGGGAUUGCGGGGGGGCGGAUGAUGGCCUCCCGUGCGCCUAGCCGCGCGGUUGGCAUAAAUACCAAGUCCUCGGCGACGCACGCCACGACAAUCGGUGGUUGCGAAACCUCGGUUGCCCGUCGUGUGCGUGCGUCGCGCAUCGAGGGCUCGAAAAAAUGCUCGGCUCCGGCUGGGCUUUCAACGCGACCCCAGGUCAGGCGGGGUUACCCGCUGAAUUUAAGCAUAUCAAUAAGCGGAGGA